rnacentral:sRNA from 1 species
CUAUUCUGUUAUUCCUCAGAGGCCAGCUAAAUGCUACAGGCCUUACAGCUUCGUACUGGCUUCUUCUGUUUUAGGGAGCUGGUGGCACUUUCUCCCUGUGCUUUGCAUGACUCUGGCAGACUUACCACAGGAUCAUUCAACGUUGUCAGGGAUGAAGAGGAAGAAAUCAAACUGGAGAUAAAUAUGCUAAAGAAAUACUCUCAUCACAGAAACAUUGCAACAUAUUAUGGUGCUUUCAUCAAAAAGAGCCCUCCAGGACAUGAUGACCAACUCUGGCUUGUUAUGGAGUUCUGUGGGGCUGGGUCCAUUACAGACCUUGUGAAGAACACCAAAGGGAACACACUCAAAGAAGACUGGAUCGCUUACAUCUCCAGAGAAAUCCUGAGGGGACUGGCACAUCUUCACAUUCAUCAUGUGAUUCACCGGGAUAUCAAGGGCCAGAAUGUGUUGCUGACUGAGAAUGCAGAGGUGAAACUUGUUGACUUUGGUGUGAGUGCUCAGCUGGACAGGACUGUGGGGCGGAGAAAUACGUUCAUAGGCACUCCCUACUGGAUGGCUCCUGAGGUCAUCGCCU